AAUCGAUGAAAGGAAAUGCAUUUUGGAUCACCCUGGCUUUAACGAAGUUUGCCUGAACGAAUUUGUUCUUCAAGUUAUGUGUCGCAGUUAUGUGACCGUUUUUCGAGAUGGUCAAAAUACCAGAGAGGAUAUCGUACAGACAACUCGUGCGUCUUCUAUGGGACUUUACAGGCAGCUCCAGACAUUUGCCACCGCCUUGUUGUUGUUACAACAAAAUACGGACGAUAUUUUUCUUCUUGAAAAUAGCACGAAUCUUCUUUCUUCAUGCAUGAUACAGACACUUCAUUUUGUAUUUCCUUUAAACCCUUAGUAUAAAUGUAUAUUAUAUAUUGAAA